rnacentral:tRNA from 1 species
UCCUUGGUGGUUCAGUGGCUAAGACUCUGCACUCCCAAUGCAGGGGGCCCGGGUUCAAUCCCUGGUCAGGGAA